CUUCCGGUCGGGAUUUUUCGCUAUCGGGGUCGACACGAGCUGCUCGGCCGGCGAACCCCGUUCUUCCUCCUCCCGCUGGUCCAUCUUGUCGAUCGUCAGGGAGCCCUUCAACUCGUCGUUUUGAGCAGAGAUCUGGAAGCAUCGUCGGGCGAGCUGUUGAUCCCCGCGCAUCUCCCCGACCCCAUUUUUGGUCGGGAACCGAACGAGGAGAUGGUACGUCGAGACGACUGCCUUGAGGGCGUUUAGUCCGGGUCGUCCAAGUAUGGCG
rnacentral:lncRNA from 1 species